UACGUAGGGUGCAAGCGUUAAUCGGAAUUACUGGGCGUAAAGCGUGCGCAGGCGGUUUUGCAAGACAGAUGUGAAAUCCCCGGGCUCAACCUGGGAACUGCAUUUGUGACUGCAAGGCUAGAAUCUGGCAGAGGGGGGUAGAAUUCCACGUGUAGCAGUGAAAUGCGUAGAUAUGUGGAGGAAUACCGAUGGCGAAGGCAGCCCCCUGGGAUAACACUGACGCUCAUGCACGAAAGCGUGGGGAGCAAACAGG
rnacentral:rRNA from 1 species